UGUGUUGUAACCGGGACCAUAAAUAACUCACUGUCCCCCCUCGUGGGCCCAUGGCUGUUGGUUUGGUCCUAAUCACUACACCUCUGUGACAGACCCAGAUGGCAAAGGGUGGGGGGGUAAUAAAGGUUAGGCUCCAUAGGAACAAGCCAGAUCGAGGGUAUCACGGUUAAAACAACAGCUAGAGUCCGAGCAGGACAUGAUUUCACCUCCGGCACAUGACCUGCUCACAGCGCCCGCUGCUGCACACCUUCACCACAUUGAAUUGCACAGCACUGAAUUUGUUUGGUUUAUGAUGGGAAACGUGGAAAUGGAUUGAAGAGACAGACAAGAUAAACACUGGCCUAACAAUAAGCUGUUGCUAAGGGGAAGCCAAUGACACUUGCAGCAGCUUGCAUGCAAACUCCCCCGUGGCCACUCCAGACAGGAAAAUCCCUCCUCCUUCUUGCCCUGGAUGAGACAGCGAAGCGUUUGGUUCAGGCCACAGCUCGCACUGCCACCCCAGGCCCUGUCUGGCCACUGCACGACAACUUUUAAUUGGUGACUCACGAGACAAAACCCAGCAGAGCACACUGUGACAGUCAAGUUUCUUUUCAGUGGACUGACAGUUAUUUGUGGAUUUUGAAUUUAUUGUCUGAUUAUAGAUCUGCAGCACCAUAAAACUGUUUUGUUUAUUUCAUAUUAUAUUAUUAGCCAGAAAUGAGCUGGUCACUUAACUUUAUGAGAAAUUGAGGCAUUAUCAAAAAACUUAAAUGCUAUUAUGGGGUGAAAUACUGAAGACAAUAUGCUUAUAUGUGUUUAUGUCUUUUCACUUUUCCCUGUGUAAAUAUGCUUUCAAGGACUUGCUUGUUUGUACCUGCUGUGUCAUUCUGCUCGUCCACCCAGCAUGACACCCUGUAUCCCAGGAUCAGCCCCUCUGAGAUCAAAAGACCUUGUUGAUUCUUAUCAGAUAAUAUUCUUGUCCACCUCCCCUCCCCUUUGAGUCCAGUGUCCUCACACUGUUGACCUGAACCAUGCACACUGUUCCUUUUGGCCCCUUGGUCUUUCCUCCUCUUAUCACCAUGAUGGUCAGGCCUUGAUAAGGCAGGUCCAGCCUCAGGACAGAGGUCCACUUUUCUAAACCUCCACAGCUGCUUAACUUGGACACUCAGCUCCGUUUGUGUGGUA